UACGGCUAAAUCGCGUUGAAAUACCGAUUCUCGUGCAUUCACUAAAGUUAAGCAACGUAGAGCCUGGUCAGUACCUAAAUGGGUGACAGCUUGGAAAUACUAGGAGCUGCAA